CUGAUGUUGUAGAUGUGAUAGAAGAAGUGAAUCUACCUAAUCUCUGUUUGCAAAAUGCAGUAUACAAGCUUGAGGACUUGAACCGUUCAUCCACCACCGACACACCGCAGCAUCGUGGGCCCAAAUCUGACAUACCCAAAGCCAACCGCAAAGGGGAAGUUGACAAGGAGAAGGGGAAGCCAGCUGCCAACUCUAAAUCUAGCUCCAGGCAGGAAACGAGCCUUGACCUGACUAAGGCGAACUGGACUCUGCGUGUGGUCAGUGACAAGAGAAAAACAGAGAGCAUUGAGGUGACGAAGGACACGGAGAGAAUGGACCAGAUUAAAGCCAUUAAAAAAGCCUGGGAAAUGGCUGAACCAGGCCGCUGUGCUAAGGCUUUAGAGUCUCGUCUCAAGUUUCUCAACCAACUCCAACAUCAAGCAGGCGAUGAAACAACCACAGAUGGCGCAGAGAACAGAGAGCCAGGUACCAUACUCCUCAUACACACACUUGCAUAUUUAUUGUAUCUGGGCAGUUUCUGUUUCCACUACUUGAGACAUUUUCUGAUUGGUUCAUUGACAGCUGCUUCCAGAUCUGAUCCUGGCACCGCUCUCAGUCCAUUUAAUCCACAGCUGACCGAUGCCUCAUGCUCCCAUUCUCCCAUGGACUACACUCCCUUCAUCAGACGCCAAAUGGAUUUUCCAGUGCUGAUGGACUCUCAGAUAGAGGAGAUCCGGCUGAGGGAGCGCCUAGAAAAGAUCCAGACUUACCGGUUGGUCCGAGACAAUGUGCUGGAGCAUCAGAAACAGCAGGAGCUCAACAGGAAGGAGCUAAUGAGACACCAGCUGGAGAUGUAUGAGAACAUUCAGGUCAGUUGAGACAGAGAGCGGACUGUGUGAUAUGUCUAAAGGUGAAGAUGUAGA
rnacentral:lncRNA from 1 species